CGCCAGCGUCGACGGCAAUGUGGUUGAACUGUUUGGGCCAUGGACGUAGAGUAACACGGCAUGGGCGGGAAUAAUGAAAAAAGCUGUAAAACAACGCCGCUUGCAGUGUGUGCUUCGAAGUCGGUACGCUACAGCGGUUCAACGACGUAAUUGUUACAUUCGUUACAUUCCUAUGUAACAAUCCAUACUCCGUUCUUAUGGGGUCAUGGGUCGAAAUCUUCUCCAUCAUCCGUCGCUUCAAUACAUUUUUUGAAAAAUUCUAGAUGCGCUGUCCGUGAUGUGUUUCAGCAGUCUCGAAAUAAGACGAGUAUAAAUACCAAACGCAUCUCAGAUUUAUACAAGGAUUGACAUUUGGUGAAAUUUGCUAUGAAAAAACAAGGACAAGCGAAUAAAGUUUGGAUAUAGUUGGAAUGCAUAGGGCGGUAAGCGAUGGGAUACCAACUUGACACAUUUUUGUUCCUUCGAGCUUGGCGCACUGCUCGUCCAACGUCAUCAGUUCUCCUGGCAAAAUUCGCUUCACGCUCGUCGAAGGUACUGGCACGUUGAACAUGCAGCUUGCCGCGUCGGAGCUUUUUUGUUAUCCAAUUGUCAUUUAUUACAAAUGGGCACAUUGAAAGAAGGAAUAACGGAAAUGGUUGCGAGUGGCGGGUUGAUCUUACUUGAAAAAUUUAUCGAACGCGAUUAAGCUGCAUUUGGACCAGUCCUGCGAGUUUCUCAUUUUUUCAACGCUACUCACCCAACGAUGAAGCUUUUCAAUAGGUUAUGAUAUUGGGCAUGAAAAGAAGAGUGUUUUGAUCGGAGAAUCAAUAUGCUGGUGGAAAAAGAAUUUUUCUUACCCAGGGUUCCGAUCGGACAGGAACCAGAAGUUUGCGGUGAACACAUGGCGAAUCUGUGCGAUCAAAUAAAUCGAGUCUUUCAUUCAUGCUGAAACACUAUUCGAUAAAAACGGAAAAUCUGGAAAAACUAAAAUGGCCGCUUACAUCAGGUAUUUUGGUAAACCGAACGCCCGUCUUCGUCGAGGUAGAAGAUUCAGCGAGGAUUACGGGGGUGUCAUAAGCCGCGAGAGUCCCUUCGGUCGGAUGUAGCCACAGCUCGAUGUCCUUGCCAAAUGCAUUCAUACGUAUUCUUGUCCCCGCACUUGAAGCUCUUCUGUGCAAUCUCGGCCAUUCUAGAGAUACUACCUCGUACUCCGGUGCACAUCCUCAAGAUCGGCAUUUCGUGUGGCCAAUAUCACGGUUAAGAAGCUGAGGCUGACCAGUCCCUUGCUGGUUAUCGCCGUGAACCCGGCUGUUUUCAAACGACACUAUUAUUAACGUUGUUACUGCUGCACCCAAGUACGAUGGAUGGAAUAAAGGUUGAAUCGUUGGUUGUUCAACUGUAAAACUCACUUUUCAUCAUUCGUGCUAAGCUCGUGCGGAAUUUCGAUCGAAAAUGUCGGUCGAAUACCGAUCGAACGUUUUUUAUAAAGGAGAAUGCACAUCGAGACUGUCAGCGCGGACGCCAAUAUACGUCGAGGACGUUGCCGGAGAUGAGCAGCAAACAAAUUGUUUCCGUACAUUUGUACAAACGUAUUUUUAUUGUUUCUUCAGAAACCCGAAUAAUCAGUCGAUUUUCAGCGGACGAGAAUAACAUUUAUGGAGGUUCGCAAAUUACAUAUUAAUGAAAAAAUAGUAUACGCAUAGCGAGGGAAUUGUUUCUCGAUGCGAGAGAAUCGUAUAUUCAUAAUUCGAGUGAGGACGAACCGUUGAAAUGUCGUAGUAAAUAGAUUUUAUCGGUGACUGUGGUGGAAGAGAAGCGUCCGUGCGUAUUAAUGAUUAAUUUUAUAAUCCACAAAUUCGGAAUCGUUGAAAUAAUGGUGCGUCGCUCGAUGAUGCAUGUUUCUUUCUCGCCGCUUGCUCAUGCGCAAGAGCUCAAACGGGGACACAUUCGUUGAAAACGCAGUACUGAAAACGAGAGAAAAUACACGGGGAAUCAUUUGGUUUUUGC